rnacentral:rRNA from 1 species
CCCUUAGAUGUUCUGGGCCGCACGCGCGCUACACUGAAUGGAUCAACGUGUUUUCCCUUCCCGAGAGGGACGGGUAACCCGCUGAACCCCAUUCGUGGUAGGGAUCGGAGCUUGCAAUUGUUCUCCGUGAACCAGGAAUUCCCAGUAAGCGCAAGUCAUAAGCUUGCGUUGAUUACGUCCCUGCCCUUUGUACACACCGCCCGUCGCUACUACCGAUUGAACGUUUUAGUGAGGUAUUUGGACUGGACCUUCGGAGGUUCACGCCUCCGUUGCUGUUCGGGAAGACUCCCAAACUUGAGCGUUUAGAGGAAGUAAAAGUCGUAACA